GCGGACGUGGCGGAACUGGGAUACGCGCAUGAUUCAGGAUCAUGUGGUCGAAAGACCUUGUGGGUUCAAUUCCCACCGUCCGCA
rnacentral:tRNA from 1 species